rnacentral:lncRNA from 10 species
GCCUCCACCGCCUUCUUCCAGGAGGAGGGGCCGUGCGGCGCCUGCCCGGGGGCCCUCAGGCCGCAGGCGGGCGCGAGCUUCAGGGAACUUAGGGGGCUCCCGCCUCCCCGGCCACGCGAGCGGGAACAGUCUCCUCCACUCGGAGCGGUAAGGGACCCGGAAAUGCGCGGGUGCCCCUACAGAGUCUUGAGUUUUCCCCGCCCUCACCUCCGAAAAUGCUCUUUUCGCCUUAGAAUUGUAGCUAGCGCAGGGAAAAACUGACUGGGCAAAGGAAAACUGGGGAGGCUGUCAUGGAAGCCGCCCAGAAUAAGAAAAUGAAUGAAUGAGGCAAAGAAACAGAUUUGUCACUCCCCACGCGAUCGCGCCCACAAAAGAAAACAUGGUUUUAAGGCGUGGAAAAUGAAGUUGUACUACAGACAAAAUUUUAAGAAAAAAUUAUCCACUGUUCCUUUAGAGCUAUCUCCCUGUGUGUGAAAAACAAAACAAAAGUUAAAACGCCAUCCUUUUCUACACCUAAUGCUCCCUCCCACUUUUCUGAUUUCUGCCACAGGCGCCAUCUUCAGCUCUGAGUCACCAGGGCUGGAAAAAUACUAGAUGCGCUACUCGUGGACUCGUGAAUACACUCGUGAAUACAGGCCAUUUCCUGUACCUACAGCCACCCGCUGUAAGCUGUUGCUUCAUUUGUACAGUAAGAGUUUAUGGAGGCCAGCUUUUCCAUUCUUACUGACAUUGCCACACCUUACAAACUAUAUGUCUUGUGCUUCCCUAAAUCCUGUGAGGAAGCAACGAGAAAGAUUACUAAUCCAAUGCGUACCGAACUGAGCUGUUCAACUUUCCGUUCUAAACAUACUCUCCUAGAUUUCUAUCUUGCUGUAAGCCACCACAAUCCUCCCAGUGUUUUAGUAAGAACAGUAGAGUAUCCUAAAUGCAUCUUAUGCCAAAGCAUAUCCAUUCUCUCUUUUUAACUUCCUCAGAUGGGCCCUUUACCAGUUCUCUGACUCCAGUUUGACUCUUAAAUUCUCCACACUGCUAUCAGAAUGACCUGACUAAAAAUGUAAAUCGGAUAAUGGCACUCUCCUGCUGAAAAUUUUUGAAAGGCAAUCUGUAAGAGAAAAUGAUUACUUUGCCUAGGAUACAAGAUUCUCCAUCUCCCUGACUAGUUUCAUCUCUCGUUAGCUUCUUGUUCCAAUUUUAUGCAAUAUUGAAUCAUGUGUACCAUGCAGUUUUAUGCAACAUUGAAUUAUGUGUACCAUGAAAAACAAUCCAUAGCCUUUCACGCCCCGUCCUUACUCAUAUUGUCCUCUCUUCCUGAAAAUUCCUCCUUUUACACUCCUGCAUCACAGCCAAAUGUUGUCCAUCCUUUGAAUCUUAAGCAGGUUGACUGACUCCUUCAAACACUCCUACUCCCUAUUAGACUUCGGAUACUCAUUCUAUAUAUUAGACUUUGGAUGCUCAUUCUAUAGUUUCAUAGUUUACUUUGUAUUUUCUCUAUCCCCAGCAUCUACCACAGUGUCUAUGAAAUAGUUGGCAUUUCAUGAACAUUUGUUGAAUGAAUAAUGGAUAACAUAUAUUGAGCUCCUUCUAGGAGGUAUGCAUUGUAGGUGUUUUAUGUACUUUUCAUCUGUCCUCACAACUGCAUUUAAGUACCUGCUUUUCCAAAGGGAAGUUAUAACUCUGACUGCUCAUUCUUAGUAGGGUGUUAGUUUCAGAAUACAAUCCCCAGACUAGCGGAUGUGUAACCCUGUUAUCAUCUCUUGCUUCUCCAUUUACAGUAGCAUGCAGAGGUGCAGUGGGGUGGGGGAGGUCAGGGAAUAUUUCAUAGCAGAAGUGACAUUUAAGUAAAGACCAAAAUAAUGUGUAGAGUUGUCCAGGUUAGGAAGGGUU